AACGAACGCUGGCGGCAGGCUUAACACAUGCAAGUCGAACGGCUGUAGCAAUACAGCAGUGGCAGACGGGUGAGUAACACGUGGGAACCUUCCUAGGGGUACGGAACAACUCAGGGAAACUUGAGCUAAUACCGUAUACGUCCGUAAGGAGAAAGAUUCAUCGCCCCUAGACGGCCCGCGUCGGAUUAGGUAGUUGGUGGGGUAACGGCCUACCAAGCCUACGAUCCGUAGCUGAUCUGAGAGGAUGAUCAGCCACACUGGGACUGAGACACGGCCCAGACUCCUACGGGAGGCAGCAGGUGGGGAAUCUUGGACAAUGGGCGCAAGCCUGAUCCAGCCAUGCCGCGUGAGUGAAG
rnacentral:rRNA from 1 species